AGUGGAGAGGCUGAGGAGCCAGGGGACUCCCUCACCUAUUGCUAGUGGAAGUAUAAAGUGGGACAACCGCAUUUGCAAAAGUGCUUAUGGCAGUUUCUUAGUUCAACAAAUACCUCCAUACGAUCCAUUAAUCGUGUUUACCAACAGAAAUGUCCAAAAAAAUGGAUACAGAAAUUUUCCUGAAAAUCUAUACACAAAACCAUCAGUCUGUGAACACCCUAUAUGGUCAUUAGCAGGAGAAGACGUGAUUUUUCUCAGCACAAAUUAUUAAUGCAAGGAGAAAAGUAAGCCUUGAGUCUUUGUUGUUGUUGUUGUUUUCUUUCACCAGUGAAUGUUGAUAAGACACUGUAUUUUAAUACCUGAUGCACUUGAAGUCAACAAGCCAGUUCCUGGGGACAAUGACAUACCAGUAGCCCAGAAAAAUUGAGCAUUUGCAAGAGGGAAAGGGUAGGGAGAAGCCAGAAAGGUCUAUACCAUGGAAUACUGCUUAGCAGUACAAACAAACAGACCACUUUUGCACCCAACCAUAUAGAUGAAUCCCCAGAAAAUUAUGCUGAAUGGAAAAGCCAGUUCCAAAUUUUGCAUAUUAUGUGAUUCCAUUUAUACCACAUUACUAUUAUUGUUGUCGUUGAUGCAGUACAGGGAAUUGAACCCAGGGCACUCCACCACCAAGCUGCACCCCCAGCCCUUUAUUUAUUGUUUUAUUUUGAGGCUGGCUUCCAACUUGCAAUCCCCUGCCUCAGCCUUCCUGGUUACCGGGGUUAUGGGUGUGCACCACCGCACCCAGGUAUACAACAUUUUUUAAAUGACAAAAUUAUAGAAAUAGAGAAGAGGUUAGUGCAUGUGGCCUGGAAUUGAAGAAGGAGAGAAAUGAAAAGACGGUGUGGCUAUAAAGGAGCCACAGAGAUGAUGAUGGGUGAUGCAGAAGUGGUGUACCCUGACCGUGUCAAUGUUACUGUAUCAAAGUCCGGGGUGUGAUAUUGUUCUAUAGUUUCUCAUAAUGUAACCAAGAAGGGAAAUCAGGCAAAGAGACCUGAAAACCUCUCUGUAUUCUUCUUAAACUGCAUGUGUGAAUCUGUGAUUCUCUCAAAAUAAGAAGUUUAUUUCAAAAAUAAAAGCCACAAAUUAGUCACAGGAUAAAUUUUAAGUUGGCUUUAACAAAAGGGCUUCCUUCAGCCACCAGAUGACUGUUUCCUUUUUCUUUUUAUGCUUUUUAGUUGAAGCAUAAUGUUCAUGCAGACAUGUAAGUUCAGGGGCUUGCUAAAUCAUCACAAAAUGAACACGCCCAUUCAUCAUGCAGAUUAAGAAACAAAGUGAGCACCUGCCUCCCUGCGAGAAGCCACAUGGUUGUGCUGGACAAGUCACCCACACCGGCUCAGCAGCGGCCAAGUAGGCUAUCCGAACCCAUGCCUGGGGGUUCAAGCUGGACUCUGACGUGGGUGACCAGCAUAAUGCAAAAGGCUUUCUGCUUUCCACAGACGUGGGUUCAGACAAGUAAGUCCUGUGUCUUUUCUGUGCCUUAAAAUGGAGUCACCUUUCCAUAUUGUCUUGGUGUCGUCACUAGGUGCUAAGUACUCAGAGGUCCCCAGAGGAAGGAGACACAGAAGUGUCUCAUUGCCCAAAUCCAGAACAAAAGUGAAAAACAGAAGAGUGAAAAGCAACUACAAACACAUUUUAUUUUAUAAAAUAUACUAAUUUCAAGCUAGAAUAUGAACUUACACCAAAAUGCCUAGGCUGGGGAUCAUUUCUGUUUCAAGGUCAGUGACUUAUUUAAAUUCUUGGGAUCCUGGUCUAAUCCACCCCGUCCUUCACUGUAACUGGCUGGACUCAGCUGAAUUCUGCGUCCUGAAGGUCCCUGUCAUGUAACAAAGCUCUUCUUAGGUACAAAUCUCACUGUGAGAAAUUCUGACUGUGACACUUGGGUCACAGGCCUCAGCCCAGAGACUGCCUCAGCAUCUCCCCAAGGAGCCCGAGCUGAUGCCAGAGGAGAGUGAGUUCAGCCCUCUCCAGUGACGGCCACAAGUCACCCUUGAGUGAAGGAAAUGGAAUGACCCCUCUUCACUUCAGAGACAGAAAGCUCUACUGUGGGACAGGAGGGCUCCCCAGGUGGCUGCCAUGUGGAAAUUGCAGGGGUGGGUGACCUCACUGCCCCUUUUACUGGCCAAAUGGAAGAAACCAAAUCUGACUUUUCCCCCUUAACCUUGUGGCAUGGCUUGCAUUAUCAGUUCAACUAAGCAUUUUAUGUCACCGAGGGGCACACAGGGGUCAGGAGUCAAGGGGAGGGGAGAGAAGAGGGGCCCCCUUUGCUUAGCACACUCAUUCCCCAGCUCUGUUUUAAGGUUUUUGUUUUGGGAAGAGAAGACACAAAUUCCCAUCAGUGCCUGCUGUCCCCUAGAGGUGCACCAGCAAUCCUACAGAAGCGACAGCAAAUUAAAGCCAGUUCAGAUGGGCUUUACUUUUCACUAAUUCCUUACAAAGAAAAGCAAAAGCCUUGGGCAGUAAGGAGGCUGAGGGACAGAGAAACCCGUCCCCCUUUCCUGCCCCUGUGAACGUUUUCAACACGCUCUGCCUGAAACCUCAGUCAGUGCUGCUUGGAUUCUGACAUCCCAACAUCUGUGAAGCUGCCUCCAUCCAGGUGGUUUGAGGAAAGGGAAAUGAAGGCUGGGAAUUGUUAAAAAGAGACGUUCAGCACAGCGUGGAAGACAGCCGCAGUGCGACUGUAGGAGGGAGAGCGCAUGCACCUUUCCAAACCCCGGGUCCAGAUGUGGACUACAAUCUGCGAAGCUGAGGUUUAAGGAGGCUGAUACUCCAGUACCGUCUUUCCAGUAUAGAACUCUUCCCUAAAUUAUUUUUCCUAUAUUGUUUCUUCCACUGUAAAUAUGUUGCCACUAAAUAAUGUUUGCAUUUAUGUUCUAUGUUUG
rnacentral:lncRNA from 1 species